rnacentral:rRNA from 1 species
AGAGUUUGAUCAUGGCUCAGAUUGAACGCUGGCGGCAUGCCUUACACAUGCAAGUCGAGCGGCAGCGCGGGGGCAACCCUGGCGGCGAGCGGCGAACGGGUGAGUAAUACAUCGGAACGUGUCCAGUAGCGGGGGAUAACCUGUCGAAAGAUAGGCUAAUACCGCAUACGACCUACGGGUGAAAGCGGGGGACCGCAAGGCCUCGCACUAUUGGAGCGGCCGAUGUCGGAUUAGCUAGUUGGCGGGGUAAAAGCCCACCAAGGGGACGAUCCGUAGCUGGUCUGAGAGGACGAUCAGCCACACUGGAACUGAGACACGGUCCAGACUCCUACGGGAGGCAGCAGUGGGGAAUUUUGGACAAUGGGCGCAAGCCUGAUCCAGCCAUGCCGCGUGAGUGAAGAAGGCCUUCGGGUUGUAAAGCUCUUUCGGCGGGGACGAAACGGUCCGUGCUAACAACACGGACUAAUGACGGUACUCGCAGAAGAAGCACCGGCUAACUACGUGCCAGCAGCCGCGGUAAUACGUAGGGUGCAGGCGUUAAUCGGAAUUACUGGGCGUAAAGCGUGCGCAGGCGGCUCCUUAAGUCAGAUGUGAAAUCCCCUGGGCUUAACCUGGGAACUGCGUUUGAUACUGAGGAGCUUGAGUGUGGAAGAGGGGGGUGGAAUUCCAGGUGUAGCAGUGAAAUGCGUAGAGAUCUGGAGGAACACCGAUGGCGAAGGCAGCCCCCUGGGCUAACACUGACGCUCAUGCACGAAAGCGUGGGGAGCAAACAGGAUUAGAUACCCUGGUAGUCACGCCCUAAACGAUGUCAACUAGUUGUUAGGGAAGCAAUUCCUUGGUAACGAAGCUAACGCGUGAAGUUGACCGCCUGGGGAGUACGGCCGCAAGGUUAAAACUCAAAUGAAUUGACGG